GGUCUGGCCCAGUGCUCCAGAGCCCUUAGCAUGCAUAAGGCCCUGCAUGAUCCCCAACCUCUUAAAAGCAAAGAAACAAAAAAAAACUUUUAAGUAGAAAAAUAAAAAUUCUUUCAAGUCCUUAGCGGUUAGGACUGUAAUAAAUCCCCAACAUGUAAAGCCAGCUCUGUAAUGACCUCAUUCUCAGCUAACUUCCUCUCUCUUUCUUUUUGCUUUUCCUUUUCUUUUUCUGGUUUACUUGAGGCAGGGUCUCCUGUAGCCCAGGCUACCUGGAAACUCACAUUCAUUGUGUUGCUGCUCUGUAGACUCCAACCUAAGCAUUUCUUCUCUGGGGUCUUAAACACAAGGUUUCUAGAACCCAGUGAGAAAAGAGUCUCUAAGAUGCUCAAAAGUAAAUGAACUUAGCUGAGUUCGCUUUUUCUGGUUAUAUUUUUUUUUCUUUUUCCAUCUAUUUGUCACCCCUCUCGACACAUAUCGGAGGUUUUUCUUCUUCUCUGGUCAUGUUUUCUUCCUACUUGGUGUAAGGUUUCCCACAGGGCUCCUCAACUAUACCUCUCAAAAGCUGAGAUCUCCUUUCCCACUAAGUGCCCGUGCAGCCUUUAUCCCAUUCUGAACCUGGGAUGUCACCUCUCUGCUCAGGAAGUUCAGCUGUCCUAACCAGCAAUGUGGCUCUGUGAGGCCACUCACUCUCAAGGCAGUCUGAUUUUCUUCCUGAGCUGCACGCUGAUGCAAGCUCCCCACAGCACAGUGGUCGUGGGCUCUCACAGUUGUGAAGCAGCGAUGUGCGAGUCCCCACCUGCUUCAACUCCCUUAGCUUAUAGAGAAGCAAGGAUAACCUCAGUGUGUCUCCCUAUUGCCUGGGCCCUGGAACCCUCAUGAGGGACUUCAAGGGAAUGAUGAAUGGACAGACAUACAGACACAUGGACAGGAAAAUUGGGAUCAGGUGGGGGUGUGUUCACUUUGAUAAAGUGGCAUCUAAUACUGCUGGCAACCUCGACCCUUGCUGUAUUUGUUAGGCAUAGCACAUAGGGUGGGGGUAUUUAUUAGCUAGUCUCUGGAGAAGGUCUCUGGAGUUGAGCAGUCUAUAGAGCAUGUUCCAGGAGAGUCAGGGCUACACAAAGAAACCCUGUCUCAAAAGGUCAAUAGCUUUUGUACACAAGUGGCCACUCUCUCACACACAGACCACUUCUUCAAUUCUUCAGUCUCCUCAAUUUCUUCAUCUAUAAUUGACCCCACUGCUUCUAUGAUUGACUCUAUCCUGCUACAUGGAGGGUAAGGACUCUAGACUCUGAUUUGAGGCCUCUAGGAUAUCUCUCUCAGUCUUGGUUUGGUACAACCAACCACAGCAGUUGUGACAUCCAGAAGAGAACAAUUUGAUUUGUCCCCAAAUGGCUCCUUCUCCAUGUAGUGGCUUGCCAUGCAUCCUUGGAGCUGUGCAUGGGGAAAUGAAGUGUGAUGCCAGUCCAGACUGAGGGACUGGAAAGCACUAUUGCCACAGUCUUUCCGGAGGGGCAUAAAAUGCCAUUAUUCAUAAUUUACAACUUUUAAGUACUCUAUGUUUCUUCAACUGGGAUAUAAUCAUGGCUUUAAGUGUGUGAAAAGAAUAAAAAUUAGGACACUUAUUAACACACAUUAACAAAAGUCUACUGAAAACACAAGAGAACGCUGAGGUCUUCGUCAACACCAGCAUAAUGCAGGCCAGAACCUCACUGUACAGUUCAAAUGGGCAACAAGGACCAAGCUUUGAAAAGAAUCAGAAUGUCUUUAUGAAGAAUUUAUACCCAGUUCAUUUCAAUAAAGCCAUAUGUUAAAAUCUGAAAAUUUUUAGGAACUGAAGUAUAACUAUGUUGGUACCAACAGUAUUUUCAUGGACAACCCCAUCCCUCAGCAUGUCAAAUAAAUCAUAUCACAAAAGCUUACCCAUGGAAGCCAUACUAGAGACACAGAGGAUCUUUACAAAGGGACAAAGUCUUUGAACUUAUAACAAGUACUCUAGGGGAUCAAUUAAGUAAUAGCAGGCAGUGGAUACAUUCCAGACUGAGCAUUUUAGCAAGAUCCGUCUCUACCUAGAAAAACAUCAUCAAUUAUUCAAGCCCCCAUACUACAAUUUCUUCAGCCUUUUCCCAGAGAAGCAAAGACCUUCCAUGCAUUAAUGUACAGAGAGCGUUCCAGGCAGUGGAAGCAACUCGAUGACUCCAGAUCCUCUGCUCUGGGCUGGCAGAUUACUUUGUGGCCAAGGGAAGAUUCAGUUUAUCUUGGACUGCAAGAUUCUUGCUUAGUAGGAAGUGAGACUGCCUUUUCCCUACCAUGUGUCUGCCCCCUGUUCCCAACUAACCUAAAAGAGUGGGCAUGCAGACCUCUAUUGCUAGGCUCUUGAGAAGGAAAAUAUAAGCUCGUAUACAAACACCAAGAUACAACAUCCAGACUCGAAAGCACUUCAGGCACAGGCCCUCAGUGGAAAGUUUUGCAAACAUUAGAAUAGUCCCUGCAGCAGAGCACUGUGGUGCAUACCUGGAGUGCCAGCUUCCCGAGGACUGAGGUAGAAGGAUCAACUGAGCCCACAAGUUCAAGACCAGCCUGGCAACAUCUCAACAACAAGGAGCAACACAUCUUGUCUGUCUACAGCAGUUUCCUCUGACUUGUGCACAUGAAGAAUUGUGAUACUGUAGUUGUGAGACACCAACUACUGUGUUAAAAUAAUGUGAGACAGCUCUGUACAGGACAAAUUCAGACACAAGAAAGGGGAAACACUUUCAGCUUGGGGAUUGCAAGAACAUAGGGCAGUUUUCUCUUUUGAUUAUGCUGUUUUGUUUUGUUUUUCUAUUAUAUCUGUAUGUUAGUAUUUUGUGGUUUUGAGGCAAAGUCUUGCUAUGUAACCCAGGCUGGCUGAUGUGGAACUGGUGAUCUCAGCCUCCCACAUGCUGGGAUGACAGGUGUGUGCCAGCAAACUCAAUUAUAUAUACUUUUUAAGUCUGUUGAAUGAAACAUGUAUCCCCACGAAUAGGUUUUAUAAGACUUAGUUUCCUCC
rnacentral:lncRNA from 1 species